rnacentral:pre_miRNA from 15 species
AGCAAGCAUGGGAACGAGUGAAGCUGCCAGCAUGAUCUAGCUUUGGAUGACUAGACCUGGAUUCAUAUGUGAUAAUAUCUAAUUAAUUACGAGGUUAAUCAUUGCUAGGUCAUGCUGCGACAGCCUCACUUCUUCCCAUGUUUAGGCG